rnacentral:rRNA from 1 species
AUGCACGCUGGCGGCGUGCCUAAUACAUGCAAGUCGAGCGCACGGACGAGAAGCUUGCUUCUCUGAUGUUAGCGGCGGACGGGUGAGUAACACGUGGAUAACCUACCUAUAAGACUGGGAUAACUUCGGGAAACCGGAGCUAAUACCGGAUAAUAUUUUGAACCGCAUGGUUCAAAAGUGAAGGACGGUCUUGCUGUCACUUAUAGAUGGAUCCGCGCUGCAUUAGCUAGUUGGUAAGGUAACGGCUUACCAAGGCAACGAUGCAUAGCCGACCUGAGAGGGUGAUCGGCCACACUGGAACUGAGACACGGUCCAGACUCCUACGGGAGGCAGCAGUAGGGAAUCUUCCGCAAUGGGCGAAAGCCUGACGGAGCAACGCCGCGUGAGUGAUGAAGGUCUUCGGAUCGUAAAACUCCGUUAUUAGGGAAGAACAUAUGUGUAAGUAACUGUGCACAUCUUGACGGUACCUAAUCAGAAAGCCACGGCUAACUACGUG